UGGGGAAUUUUGGACAAUGGGCGAAAGCCUGAUCCAGCAAUGCCGCGUGUGUGAAGAAGGCCUUCGGGUUGUAAAGCACUUUUGUCCGGGAAAGAAAUCCUUGGCUCUAAUACAGUCGGGGGAUGACGGUACCGGAAGAAUAAGCACCGGCUAACUACGUGCCAGCAGCCGCGGUAAUACGUAGGGUGCAAGCGUUAAUCGGAAUUACUGGGCGUAAAGCGUGCGCAGGCGGUUUGCUAAGACCGAUGUGAAAUCCCCGGGCUCAACCUGGGAACUGCAUUGGUGACUGGCAGGCUAGAGUAUGGCAGAGGGGGGUAGAAUUCCACGUGUAGCAGUGAAAUGCGUAGAGAUGUGGAGGAAUACCGAUGGCGAAGGCAGCCCCCUGGGCCAAUACUGACGCUCAUGCACGAAAGCGUGGGGAGCAAACAGGAUUAGAUACCCUGGUAGUCCACGCCCUAAACGAUGUCAACUAGUUGUUGGGGAUUCAUUUCCUUAGUAACGUAGCUAACGCGUGAAGUUGACCGCCUGGGGAGUACGGUCGCAAGAUUAAAACUCAAAGGAAUUGACGGGGUCAUAGCUG
rnacentral:rRNA from 1 species